UUCUACUUCUAGAAAGAAGGCAGAAUCUAGGAUUUCUGCUCAGGGUGCACAUUACUGCAGAGGCGAGUGGCACUCCAGGAGCAUUUUGAUGACUUAUUUUUAUGUGUGAGCGAGUUGAUUGAAAAUCCUCCUAGCUCCCACUUUACCUGGCCAUUUGGUGCUUGACUUUUGUCUUUGAGUGGAGCAGAACUACUGAUGAUAAUGGCAGCAGUGACUUCAGUUAAAGAAUCACAGGGACCACCUGAGACUUUCUGCAGCUCCGUGAUUUCAGCUUUAUGACCCUUAAUUGACAUUUCAAAAAGGCUUUCCUUACCAUGUGCUGAUUGAAAAAUAAAUAGUUUAGCAAAGAGAGGUCCUUCUUUCCACGAAUUUGGCCCCACUGGCCACUUAAAUAGUGUGUGUUUAGGUGAAGUACCUUUACUUCUGUGGGAGGAAACAAAGACUUUUUAAAACCACAUUAUUGCUUCAGCCCCAGAAGCUGAGAAGAAAGAGAACAGAUGGGUGGCUCUUCUCAAAGAAUGGUGCCUUCAUCUGGAUUUCCUCUUCUUAAACAUUUAUCUUCUUGUUCCUUGAAGGCUUUCAGGAAUUGUUAAUUCCACAGUGGCUGCAUGGUAACUGUUGAUUGGUGGUGGUUUAUUUUGGUGAGUGUGUCCAACAGAAGUACACAAAAGGAAGAUUCUAACCCCAAGAUGAUGUAGCUCUUGAAGAAAGCAGGAGAGACUUCUGGGACUUAUGAUGAUAAAGGUGGGUGUUGGUGGGGGGGAAAUGGCAUGGAACAAGUUUCAAGAGAGAAGAGUUUGUUUAGUAAUGAGGCAAAAAAUUGUUUCUGGACACAAGAGAUUAAGUUUCAUAUUUGCAAUCUAGGAAGUAUAGUGUAGAGAGAAAGAUCAUGGACUCCUACCCCAGACGCUGG
rnacentral:lncRNA from 1 species